rnacentral:rRNA from 1 species
AGUGAACGCUGGCGGCGUGCUUAACACAUGCAAGUCGAACGAGAACGGAUUAUAGCUUGCUAUAAUUGUCAGCUAAGUGGCGCACGGGUGAGUAAUGUAUAGGUAAUAUGCCUCUUACUAAGGGAUAACAAAUGGAAACGUUUGCUAAUACCUUAUACUCCUUAUUAACAGAAGUGGAUAAGGGAAAGAUUUAUUGGUAAGAGAUUAGCCUGUAUUGUAUCAGUUAGUUGGUGGGGUAAUGGCUUACCAAGACUAUGACACAUAACUGGUUUGAGAGGAUGAUCAGUCACACUGGAACUGAGACACGGUCCAGACUCCUACGGGAGGCAGCAGUGGGGAAUAUUGCACAAUGGACGAAAGUCUGAUGCAGCAACGCCGCGUGGAGGAUGACACAUUUCGGUGCGUAAACUCCUUUUAUAUGAGAAGAUAAUGACGGUAUUAUAUGAAUAAGCACCGGCUAACUCCGUGCCAGCCGCCGCGGUAAUAC